UAAUACCAAAACAUGCAUAGUUAGAUGACUUCUCAAGUUAACAUUUUUAAACAUUUUAAUUAUGAGGAGUUGUUGUAAGGAUUCUGUGAUACCGACUCCAGCACACCUGGCAUAUUAGACCACCUGACUUUCAACAUGGAAACUUCUGUUUCCCUGAAAUUAAGAUGGCAGUAUCACACAGAAGUGAAGGAAUAACGAACAAGAAACGUGAAAAGCUGAUGUUGUUUUCAGUUAAAGAGAUGAGGAGAAAAGAGAAGCCAGAGACAUAUAUGCUGGCAAAGAAUAAUCCACUCCAAAAUGUCAGCGUUGUCCAGGAUGAGGCAGUCUGAUCAACACAAAUGCAGUGAACAAGAGCAACUUUAAGAAAAUUGGAAUGUAAGGACCCUGGAAAUGUGGAGAAAAAAUUAUAUUUUCUAUGUAAAGAAUUUAUAAGUUUAGGUGUUUAAUGAAUGAUAGUGAUAAAGUAAUAUCACUAAUGAUGUUGGUGAUGAUGAUGAUGAUGAUGACAGUUGUAUAUACAGGAAGAAAGUAUGAGAGUGAAGAAGAGUGGCUAUGAGUUGACAAAAGGCUUCUAUACUCACAGACACUGGGUAGGUCUCAUUUCAACUGGCAGAUAUGACUUGGCUGUCAAGUCCUAUUACUCUUAGAAAACUCUAUGUCCACUGUCAGUCUAACUCAAAUGUUUGUCUCAUACGAUAUCCAGAGUUCCAAAUUCUUCUUUUCCUCAGGUCGCUGAGAAAUAAGAUCACCAUGGCUGGUGAAAUUUUUAAUGGCAAUCUUGAUUGGUAUUGUGAGAAAAAUUAGUGACAUUUAUUAUUAAAAAUUAGUCUAUCAAUGUAUGAUUGAUGAGGUAGACAGAAAUAUCCUACAUUUAUAUUGUGCUCUCCGGUUUUCAAAUAUUAUGUAUAAGUAUUAUUUCACUUGGACCUCACCCUAUGCUGAAUUAUGCAUAGAAGUUAUUUUCCAAAUUAUUUUCAUUUAAUGAGAAACUCAUCUGGUUGUUGAUUUGUCUUUUACUAUUUUACAAAAUAUUGGACUUGCAGCUAAAAUCUGGAAUAUAAGAUCCUUGACUAGGUAGGUUUCUUUGUAACUAUCCUAAAUAUCUUUUUAAUGAUGCAAUAAUAACAGUCUGUAUUUUAUUUGAGAGUGUUUAAAGGUUUUAAAAAAAUAUAGUUAACUUCUGCCUAAUUUAAUUUUAAUAAAGUUUUUUAAAAUAAAUUGAGGAAUAGCAUAUAUACAAAAAUGACAGAAAGCCUAAGUGAACAAAUAAGAUUUUUACAAAAUUAAACACAGUGUAACCUUUGCUAAUCAAGAAACAAAUUACCAGUCCCAACAAAUCUCUGCUUUGCUCCCUUCUAAUCACUCUCUUCAAGGCUUAUUUUAAAGGACGUAAAAUUUACAUUCAAUAAAAUUUAUUUUCUAAUUUUUCAAUCCAUGAGGUUCAGUAAUUUUAUAUACCAGUGUAGUAGUGUUUACCAUUGCCCAAACAAGACAUAGAACAUUUCCAUCAAACCAAAAAUUUCUUCAGGUACCUUUCCAAUCAAUACCCCUCCCAUUUACAUAACCACUUUUUAACUUAUAUAAUCAUAGAUUUUAUUCUUGGUCUUUCACUUUAUGUGAACGGAAUAACACUAUAUGUUUUGUACGUAUGUAUGUAUUUGUGCAUGCUCAACAUAGUAUUUUUGUUUCACUCAUUUUGUUGCAACAGUAAGUAGUUUGUUCCAUUUCUAUUGAUGAAAUCAAUUGUAUGAAUGUACUACAAUUUGUUUAGUCUCGGAUGGACACAUGGAUUAUGUUCAGUUUUAGGUUUUUAUAAAAAAAGAUUGUUAUGAACAUUCUUUUACAUAAGUUUUAGUGAACAUAUACAUUCAUAUAUCAUGGACAAAUGUCUCGAAGUGUAACUGUUGUGGGUAGAGGCAUCCCAAGGCUGCCGGGUAUUCUUAACAGUAAUAAUAUGUCUAAAGGAAAAUCAAUACAGAAGUAGAUGUAAUUAUUCUGUUUUGUACCAUAAGCAAAGCCGUAAUUUAAGCAAUGUAGUAAGGAAGUUUUUUUUGUUGUUUUGUUUUCUAACAGUGAUUCUUUUUUCAGAUACUGAGAAUUUUCAAAAACAUGCAGUUAACAAUAACAAGAUUACAGAUUCUCAUUAUUUGUCUUAAAUUAAAAUACAGAUGAAAAAUUAGCGCUUCUUAACUCCUUUGGAUGAAAAAUAAGUUAUUAAUUUUUAUGGGUACAUAGUAGGUCUAAAUAUGUAUGGGGUACAUGAGAUAUUUUGAUACAGGCCCACAAUGUGUAAUAAGCACAUCAGAGUAAAUGGGGUAUUGGAUACCUUAUGCAUUUAUCAUUUCUUCCUGUUACAUACAUUCCAAUUGUACUCUUUCAGCUAUUUUUAAAUGUACAAUAAGCUAUUGUUUACUCUAGUCACACUGUUGUGCUAUCUAAUGCUAGAUCUUAUUCAUUCUAACCAUAUUUUUGUGCUCAUUAACCAUCCCACUUCUCCAACUCCCAAAUAGCCUUCCCCGCCUCUGGUAACCAUCAUUCUACAUCUAUUUCCAUGAGUUUAAUUGUUUAAAUUUUUAGCUCUCACAAAUGAGCAAGAAAACACAAAGUUUGUCUUUCUGUGCCUGCCUUUUUCCAAUUGCCGUAGUAUCCUCUAGUUCCAUCCAUGUUGUUGCAAAUAACAGGAUCUCAUUCUUUUUAUGGCUGAACUGAAUAGUACUCCAUUGUGUAUAUGUAUCUCAUUUUUAAAUCCAUUAAUCUGUUAAUGGACAUUUAGAUUAAUUACAAAUCUUGUCUAUUGUGAAUAGUGCUGCAAUAAACAUAGAUGUG
rnacentral:lncRNA from 10 species